rnacentral:rRNA from 1 species
UCGAGAAUCUUCGGCAAUGAGCGCAAGCUUGACCGAGCGACGCCGCGUGGAGGAUGAAGGCCUUCGGGUUGUAAACUCCUGUCAGAGGGGAGGAAAGUGAGGUGGGCUCUCCCAUCUCAUUGACCUAGCCUCAGAGGAAGGACGGGCUAAAUUCGUGCCAGCAGCCGCGGUAAUACGAAUCGUCCAAACGUUGUUCGGAUUCACUGGGUUUAAAGGGCGCGUAGGCGGUGCGUUAAGUCGGCGGUGAAAUACUUCGGCUCAACCGGAGAAUGGCCGCUGAAACUGGCGUGCUCGAGGGAGGUAGAGGUGCGUGGAACUUCCGGUGGAGCGGUGAAAUGCGUUGAUAUCGGAAGGAACACCUGUGGCGAAAGCGAUGUACUGGACCUCUUCUGACGCUGAGGCGCGAAAGCCAGGGGAGCGAACGG